rnacentral:pre_miRNA from 1 species
AAAAAGGUAAACCGUGGGUUCCGUGUCAACGUUUGACUAUCCGUCUUAUAUGAAAUUUUUUUUAUAGUUAGUAUUAUCAUUGUUGUUAGAUGAUAAAAUAUGAUUAAUACUUUAUACGUGACUUGUCUUUUUAAACUUUUUCAUAUUUUUUUUAAAUAAGACGGACGGUCAAAUGUUGGACACGGAAACCAGGGUUUGUCUUUUU